rnacentral:tRNA from 1 species
GGUAUAUAGCUCAGUGGUGAAGCACUUGCCUAACAUGCAGGAGGCCCUGGGUUUAAUUCCCAACACCA